rnacentral:rRNA from 1 species
AACGAACGCUGGCGGCGCGCUUAAUACAUGCAAGUCGAACGAGAAGGUGUAGCAAUACACUUGUAAAGUGGCGAACGGGUGAGGAAUACAUGGGUAACCGUACCCUCGAGUGGGGAACAACCAGCCGAAAGGUUGGCUAAUACCGCGUACGCUUCCGGGUCUUCGGAUUCGGAAGGAAAGUCAUACCGUGGGUAUGACGCUCAAGGAUGGGCUCAUGUCCUAUCAGCUUGUUGGUAGGGGUAACGGCCUACCAAGGCUCCGACGGGUAGGCUGGUCUGAGAGGACGAUCAGCCACACUGGCACUGCGACACGGGCCAGACUCCUACGGGAGGCAGCAGUAAGGAAUAUUGCGCAAUGGGCGAAAGCCUGACGCAGCGACGCCGCGUGGGGGAGUGAAGGU